UACAGAGGGUGCAAGCGUUGUUCGGAAUUAUUGGGCGUAAAGGGCGCGUAGGCGGUGCGGUAAGUCUGCGGUGAAAUCUCCCGGCUCAACUGGGAGGCUGCCGUGGAAACUGCCGUGCUUGAGGCCGGGAGAGGUGAGUGGAAUUCCCAGUGUAGCGGUGAAAUGCGUAGAUAUUGGGAGGAACACCAGUGGCGAAGGCGGCUCACUGGACCGGUUCUGACGCUGAGGCGCGAAAGCGUGGGGAGCAAACGGG
rnacentral:rRNA from 1 species